AAUGAACGCUGGCGGCGUGGAUUAGGCAUGCAAGUCGAACGGACCCUCUUUUCUUCGGAGUUAAGGGUUAGUGGCGACCUGGUGAGUACAAGUUGGGUAACCUGCCCAGAAGUGGGGGAUAACUCCUUGAAAGAGGGGCUAAUACCGCAUAGUGUUAUGUUUUCUUCGGAGGAUAUAACUAAAGGCUUCGGCCGCUUUUGGAUGGGUCCGACUCCCAUUAGCUUGUUGGUAGGGUAAAGGCCUACCAAGGCGACGAUGGGUAGGUGGUCUGAGAGGAUGGUCACCCACACGAGGACUGAGAUACGGCCUCG
rnacentral:rRNA from 1 species